GCGCGGGGCGCGGGGCGGGGGGGGGGGGGUCGUGCCGCUGCCCCCGGUCGGAAGGAAAGCGGCGAAGGCGGCGGAGUCAACAUUGAAUAUUUAUUAAUCGCCGUCGAAGGACGCUCGGUAAUUACAGGGCCGAGCAGUCCGGGCGGGGGGCGCCGGGGGCGGUGCAUGCAGAGGUGGUGCCGGGACCCCCGGCCCCGCGCCCCCCCCGGGCCGGGCCCCGGGCGGGGGGGGGGGGAGGGGGGGGAUGGCGGGGGGAAAAUGCCCCGAACCCCCCGGGAGGGGUCGGGGGGAAAAUGCCACCUGCGGGGCCGGUGGGGACGGGGGAGAAGCGAAGGAUGGGGGAGAACGAAAGAAGGGGAAAAAAGGGCGAGACGUGGCGGAGAAACCAAACCAACAUGGAAGUUGCCUUUUCUCCAUUCAAGUUUCCUCGCUGCCCUCCCAGCCCUCCACUUCUUACAUAACUCACCUUCGGCGCUGACUGGAGGAAUUCUUAUUUCAUUGUUCCCAGCAUCUUCUGGGAGCGGGACGCGGCUCCUUGAGGUGCUCCAGCCUCCUGCAGUCCUCUAUCCAAAAGGAGGCGAGAGUGGCAUCUCUACCCAGCAAAGGGGGUACCAGCUCUGCUGCCAGUGCCAUAUGGUUGGCACGUCAUGCGCGAGAGCUAUCACAUGAGAGCUAAUGAUUGACAUGCGCUUGCAUUCAGGGAGAUUUGUCUCUCUGGGGAAGGAGGACUCGCCAUCUGUCACUCUGUACUCAAAAAAAAAAAAAAAAAGAAAAAAAAAAGAAAAAAAAAAAAAAACCCUUCCAAAUCUACAGAUCUGCCUACACGCCGCAAAAUGGGACCUGGGUGAGAUGCAGGCGAUAGCAGGGCUGGGGCUGAACAAUGGAGCGCAGGCAGGGCGCUGGGGCCGGGCUCACGGGGCGGCCUGUGCGUGCUGGGGGCAGCCGGGGGUGCUGGCUGAGGGGGGGGUGCCACAGGGACCCUCGUGGCGAGCUGGCAUCGGCGGAUCGCUGCACACAGCGCACGGCUCGCCCGGCCGCGUCCC
rnacentral:lncRNA from 7 species